AGAUAAGACCUUGUCUCAUGAAAAGGGCUGUGGAAUUGGAGAGAUGGUGCAGCAUUUGGGGGCCAUGUGCUGCUCUUGCACAGGACUGGAGUUUGGUUCCCAGGCAUUCAUAGCCACCUGUAACUCCUUUGCUAAUGUACCCACCCGAACUCCUCAGUCCCCUCCAGGCCCAGAUACCUUCAUAGGCUCAUGUGCAAACACAUGCUUAAAAUAAAGAAAGAAGGGUUCCUGUGAGCUUCUUCCUGUCCAGAACAUGUGCGGUGCAGGGCUAAGGGGUCGGGGUUCUGUCCCCUGAAAACCUCUCAUCCUGGGAAGGAGAAAAAGAAGAGCAAGAAGCAAUUGACCCAUUGCUGAAGUACAAACUGAAACGGACAGACGUAAUGAACAGGCAGUGAGGACAUUCCGAAAGUGGAACAAAAGGUAACAAACUCCACCAACCAUGUUCUUCAGAAGAGGUCAGAAUUGAUCGCCAGGAUCCGAAAUUUUGGGGUAACAACCUUCAAAGUCCACUGGAAUCAGAUGGCUCCAGGGUUAAACUUUUGGCGUGCAAGCAAGAGAUCUAGUGCUGGGGUUCUUUUUCCCACCCUUCUCCAUCCCUCUUCUUUGUGCCCCCGUCCACCCCGCAAGCACUAGAGAAGAGAGGAGAGGAAAGAGAUCCCUUAAUAAAGUCUGGUCAGAAAGGGGCAACAGUAUCAUUGGACUACUUCCUGCUGACUGGGGGCAUUGAGCUCCAUGGGGUGAGUUUGAUCUUUGCAGUCAGAAUAUCUAAUUUUUUUCUUCAUGUUUCUUCUUAUGAACGAGACCAACAGCAAUCUACAGCCCAGCCUGCCCCCCUGAAAAGUCCCCAGGAUUCCAAGCAUGGCACAGUUGCAGAAACUGUCUGCCGUUGGCAAAGUCAUGGCCCUGCUAAGGCAGGAGGCAAAUCAUGGUCAGGUGACUUGAAGCAGCCCCAUGUCCCCACAGCUGGGAUUAAAAACAAAAUCACAUUCUUAUAGUUCAGUGUUUUUAAGGAAACCAAGAUUCCAAAAUCCUCACUCUAUGAGCUCGUCAGCCUGCGUGUAACUCUAAACUCCAGAGGUGGAGCUUGGACUCCCCAGAGCAAGCUGGCCAGCCAUAUCGGUGGGCUGUGGGUUUGACUGAAGGCCUUGUCUUGAAUAGCCAGUCAUUGUUGUUCUUCUUGUGACUUGGGUUGGGUUUUGGUCUCUUACCCUGCUGCAGAGCAACAGCCACUGGUUAGGGUUUAAUUUUUUUUGUUAUGAUUUUAUUGCUGUUGUGUUGGUCAUGGGGUUAUGUUGCAUGUGUGCUGUAGCGUGUACAGAGAGGUCAGAGGACCCUUCUACCUUUAGAACAUGGUGGAGUUCUAGGCAAAGAAGAGUUUGAAGAGGCCUCUUGGCUGUGGGCCCUACCCGCCUUCCUUGGCAGCGAGGAGACAGGUAGGGGCUAUCCCAGUGUCUGUCCUAUCCCACCAGUCUGUCCAGUGCCAGGGCAGUCAUUUUUGCAGCCUUCAUCUCUGCAGGAGGAGGUGGACUCAGGUCACUGACUUCAGAGCACACACUUUACCCACAGAGCAAGCUCCCAGUUAUGUGGGAAACACCAGUUCAGGCCAUUACGUCCCUAGACCCACAUGCUCUGAGGAUCUCAACUUUUCAGUUCUGCAACAUGAAAUUUUGCUGUUGGGUACGGCUGGGUCUAACUGGUAUUCCAAAAGAGUAUUCAAGUCUGUGAACAGGAGCUAAGGGGUUGGCGACCAUAUUAAACCCUUUAAACCUGUGAUUGGUGGCGUUUCCCAGUCCUUUAAAGGGGCUGAGGAUGGGGGUGUGGGUGAGGGAGAGAUGUCUAAGACUUGUACCCCAGGGGCCCUGAGAUGGUUCUAUGGGGAAGAACUCUCACCACCAAGCCUGAUGACCUCAAGUCACAUUGAUUCCCAGGCCCACGUGGAAGGAGAGAACCAGUUCCCUAAAACUGUCCUGUGAUCUCUGUACACAUUUAUGCAUGGAUGCACCUACACAGACCUACACACAAAACAAAUGCUUCAGAAGCAAAAAACAAAACAAAACCAAAAAAAUCCAAUGCUGCUCCCCUCCCCCCACCACUGAAUAAACCUUGAGCUGGCAAAAUGACUGAAUGGGAAAAGGGAAU
rnacentral:sRNA from 1 species